rnacentral:rRNA from 1 species
AUUGAAAGCUGGCGGCAGGCCUAACACAUGCAAGUCGAACGAGUGGCGGACGGGUGAGUAAUGUCUGGGAAACUGCCCGAUGGAGGGGGAUAACUACUGGAAACGGUAGCUAAUACCGCAUACCAUCGGAUGUGCCCAGAUGGGAUCAGCUGUUAGGUGAGGUAACGGCUCACCUAGGCGACGAUCCCUAGCUGGUCUGAGAGGAUGACCAGCCCCCCUGGAACUGCUCCACGGUCCAGACUCCUACGGGUGGCCGCAGUGGGGAAUAUUGCACAGUGUGCGUCAGCCUGAUGCAGCCAUGCCGCGUGUAUGAAGAAUGCCUUCGUGUUGUAAAGUACUUUCAGCGGGGAGGCGUUACCCGCAGAAGAAUCCCCGGCUAACUCCGUGCCAGCCGCCGCGGUAAUAC